CCCCCGUUGAAGAGUCCCAAACAAGGACGAAACAGAUGUCCGGUGC
rnacentral:hammerhead_ribozyme from 1 species